rnacentral:lncRNA from 1 species
GAUCUUGCAAUAUUUAAUGAUAUGUCCUUUGAAUGGGAUUUCAAUAUGGAGCUUAAAAAGGUGUUGAUUGCGCAGAGUGUUUCUUGAAGCUGCUGUAGCUGAAUUUUCUCUCCAGUUUCUGGUGUGGGUUUGGUGCUUAUGUGAACCCUUAAUUCAUCGAGAAGCUGCCCGUACAGCUCUUGCAAAGCUUCAUAGAGAUCCCUACUUUCUCCUCUUCAAUUGUUUCUUCAAAAAUCACUUCAUUAUUCUUUUU